CUGCAUACACACUACCCUCCCCUGACCCCACUAAGUGGGAUUAUACUGGGUUGUUGUUGUUGUUGUUGUUGUUGGGAGUAUGCGUACAUACUACCCUCCCCAAACCCCACUAAGUGGGAUUAUACUGGGUUGUUGUUGUUGUUGUUGUUGUUGUACGUAGUUUUUCGUUUAUAAAGUAAAAAAACUUCUUCUGUAAUCAUAUGAAGGUUCUGAAUUUGUAUCGGGAAAAAAUUGAGUUUUUAUUAAAGGUGACGUGGCAUGACACGUGGAUUGGUCAAACAGUCAAAUAGCAAUAAAUGAUUAAAAGGCACGGAAGACAACAUGCACGGUAGGAGAAAAGAAAAUAGACACGAGAGAGAAUCUUAGAUACGAUUCUCGUAUUUAUCCAAGUCAUUCAAUAUCAAUGGAUAAAAAGUGCAUUGAAGACACGAACCUGAUGACAAAAAGUAGUCUACAUUCAUUAUUAAAUACCUGAUACGUUAGUUAUUCAAUAUUUAAUAGCAAUGAUUAUGUAANNNNNNNNNNNNNNNNNNNNNNNNACAUUCAUUAUUAAAUACCUGAUACGUUAGUUAUUCAGUAUUUAAUAGCAAUGAUUAUGUAACGUCCCAUUAAAUGCUCUUUAUUACUUAGAAUAAUCCGUUACUCCUUGUCAACUAUAAAAGGAGGAAAUUUUAUCAUUUGUUGACACACGGAACUUUCUUGAUAUCAUAGUGGAA
rnacentral:lncRNA from 1 species